CGGCAUGCCUUACACAUGCAAGUCGAACGGCAGCACGGAGCAAUCCUGGUGGCGAGUGGCGAACGGGUGAGUAAUAUAUCGGAACGUGCCCAGUCGUGGGGGAUAACGUAGCGAAAGCUACGCUAAUACCGCAUACGAUCUAUGGAUGAAAGCGGGGGAUCGCAAGACCUCGCGCGAUUGGAGCGGCCGAUAUCAGAUUAGGUAGUUGGUGAGGUAAAGGCUCACCAAGCCGACGAUCUGUAGCUGGUCUGAGAGGACGACCAGCCACACUGGGACUGAGACACGGCCCAGACUCCUACGGGAGGCAGCAGUGGGAAUUUUGGACAAUGGGCGCAAGCCUGAUCCAGCAAUGCCGCGUGCAGGAUGAAGGCCUUCGGGUUGUAAACUGCUUUGUACGGAACGAAACGGUGAGCUCUAAUACAGUUUGCUAAUGACGGUACCGUAAGAAUAAGCACCGGCUAACUACGUG
rnacentral:rRNA from 1 species